GAUGAACGCUGGCGGCGUGCCUAAUACAUGCAAGUCGAGCGAACGGACGAGAAGCUUGCUUCUCUGAUGUUAGCGGCGGACGGGUGAGUAACACGUGGAUAACCUACCUAUAAGACUGGGAUAACUUCGGGAAACCGGAGCUAAUACCGGAUAAUAUUUUGAACCGCAUGGUUCAAAAGUGAAAGACGGUCUUGCUGUCACUUAUAGAUGGAUCCGCGCUGCAUUGGCUAGUUGGUAAGGUAACGGUUUACCAAGGCAACGAUGCAUAGCCGACCUGAGAGGGUGAUCGGCCACACUGGAACUGAGACACGGUCCAGACUCCUACGGGAGGCAGCAGUAGGGAAUCUUCCGCAAUGGGCGAAAGCCUGACGGAGCAACGCCGCGUGAGUGAUGAAGGUCUUCGGAUCGUAAAACUCUGUUAUUAGGGAAGAACAUAUGUGUAAGUAACUGUGCACAUCUUGACGGUACCUAAUCAGAAAGCCACGGCUAACUACGUGCCAGCAGCCGCGGUAAUACGUAGGUGGCAAGCGUUAUCCGGAAUUAUUGGGCGUAAAGCGCGCGUAGGCGGUUUUUUAAGUCUGAUGUGAAAGCCCACGGCUCAACCGUGGAGGGUCAUUGGAAACUGGAAAACUUGAGUGCAGAAGAGGAAAGUGGAAUUCCAUGUGUAGCGGUGAAAUGCGCAGAGAUAUGGAGGAACACCAGUGGCGAAGGCGACUUUCUGGUCUGUAACUGACGCUGAUGUGCGAAAGCGUGGGGAUCAAACAGGAUUAGAUACCCUGGUAGUCCACGCCGUAAACGAUGAGUGCUAAGUGUUAGGGGGUUUCCGCCCCUUAGUGCUGCAGCUAACGCAUUAAGCACUCCGCCUGGGGAGUACGACCGCAAGGUUGAAACUCAAAGGAAUUGACGGGGACCCGCACAAGCGGUGGAGCAUGUGGUUUAAUUCGAAGCAACGCGAAGAACCUUACCAAAUCUUGACAUCCUUUGACAACUCUAGAGAUAGAGCUUUCCCCUUCGGGGGACAAAGUGACAGGUGGUGCAUGGUUGUCGUCAGCUCGUGUCGUGAGAUGUUGGGUUAAGUCCCGCAACGAGCGCAACCCUUAAGCUUAGUUGCCAUCAUUAAGUUGGGCACUCUAAGUUGACUGCCGGUGACAAACCGGAGGAAGGUGGGGAUGACGUCAAAUCAUCAUGCCCCUUAUGAUUUGGGCUACACACGUGCUACAAUGGACAAUACAAAGGGCAGCGAAACCGCGAGGUCAAGCAAAUCCCAUAAAGUUGUUCUCAGUUCGGAUUGUAGUCUGCAACUCGACUACAUGAAGCUGGAAUCGCUAGUAAUCGUAGAUCAGCAUGCUACGGUGAAUACGUUCCCGGGUCU
rnacentral:rRNA from 1 species